rnacentral:lncRNA from 1 species
GUGCUUUUUAAUGGAAUUUAAAUAAAUGGAAUUUUUAUGACAAAAAAAGCAACAGUAAAAGCAGUGAUUAUGUUUUUCAUAGUUCAUUUGCCUUCUUUGCCCUGCAGACCUUGUGUGAAGGAAAAUGAGAUCCCGAGUGAAGUCUACAAUGUCAUUGACUCUGAAGAAGGACUCAGAGACCCAUUGGUGUUUAAUGACCCUUACUGGCCUAUGCAAUGGGAACUGAUACUAAAGACGAAUGGAUUCAAAAGAAGCUCUUCUUUAUCUGUCAUCCAGGAUGAAACAAAUGAUGUUAUAAUUAAUUUUUUAAGAGCUGACUUUCUGACUUGUUUACUUUGUAAGUUCCUCACCUAUGUUUGGAUAGAAUUUGAGUUGCUGCUGGCUGACAGCCACACCCGAAGGAGACAAGAAGGGAGUUGUGCUAGCAGCCAAAUGAAUUUGUCCUGUAUGUCCUCUCCAGCUGAGUGCUAUGUGGUGCCAACUUCUAGUCCUUAG